CCCUACGGGGGGCAGCAGUGGGGAAUAUUGCACAAUGGGGGAAACCCUGAUGCAGCGACGCCGCGUGAGUGAAGAAGUAUUUCGGUAUGUAAAGCUCUAUCAGCAGGGCAGAUAAUGACGGUACCUGGGUAAGAAGCCCCGGCUAACUACGUGCCAGCAGCCGCGGUAAUACGUAGGGGGCGAGCGUUAUCCGGAUUCACUGGGCGUAAAGGGAGCGCAGGCGGCACGGCAAGUCCGGUGUGAAAGCCCGGGGCCCAACCCCGGGACUGCACUGGAAACUGCCGGGCUGGAGUGCCGGAGGGGUA
rnacentral:rRNA from 1 species